rnacentral:rRNA from 2 species
GGGGACAGAGUGACAGGUGGUGCAUGGUUGUCGUCAGCUCGUGUCGUGAGAUGUUGGGUUAAGUCCCGCAACGAGCGCAACCCUUGAUCUUAGUUGCCAGCAUUUAGUUGGGCACUAUAAGGUGACUGCCGGUGACAAACCGGAGGAAGGUGGGGAUGACGUCAAAUCAUCAUGCCCCUUAUGACCUGGGCUACACACGUGCUACAAUGGAUGGUACAAAGGGCUGCAAGACCGCGAGGUCAAGCCAAUCCCAUAAAACCAUUCUCAGUUCGGAUUGUAGGCUGCAACUCGCCUACAUGAAGCUGGAAUCGCUAGUAAUCGCGGAUCAGCAUGCCGCGGUGAAUACGUUCCCGGGCCUUGUACACACCGCCCGUCACACCACGAGAGUUUGUAACACCCGAAGUCGGUGGAGUAACC